ACGAACGCUGGCGGCGUGCCUAAUACAUGCCAGUAGAACGCACAGUUUAUACCGUAGCUUGCUACACCAUAGACUGUGAGUUGCGAACGGGUGAGUAACGCGUAGGUAACCUGCCUGGUAGCGGGGGAUAACUAUUGGAAACGAUAGCUAAUACCGCAUAAUAUUAAUUAUUGCAUGAUAAUUAAUUGAAAGGUGCAAUUGCACCACUACCAGAUGGACCUGCGUUGUAUUAGCUAGUAGGUGAGGUAACGGCUCACCUAGGCGACGAUACAUAGCCGACCUGAGAGGGUGAUCGGCCACACUGGGACUGAGACACGGCCCAGACUCCUACGGGAGGCAGCAGUAGGGAAUCUUCGGCAAUGGACGAAAGUCUGACCGAGCAACGCCGCGUGAGUGAAGAAGGGUUUCGGAUCGUAAAGCUCUGUUGUAAGAGAAGAACGGGUGUGAGAGUGGAAAGUUCACACUGUGACGGUAUCUUACCAGAAAGGGACGGCUAACUACGUG
rnacentral:rRNA from 1 species